GGGGAUGACAUGGUUUCGACGGGGAUGUUGAAUGUCAAAUAGCGAGCCGUUUUCGUCUAUAAACGUAAAAAAAGGACACUUAAAUUUAAACGCAGAAGAUAGUAAUUUUGCAUUAGCUGCCUAAGCAGCUUUUAACCUACUAGUUGUUUCCCACAGCUUCUACUAGGUUUCAAAUUAAGUGGGCAACUUUGUUUGCAAAGCUUUGAGCUCUCAUCGUAUUUAUGAAGCUACCUAAUAUAUUUUCUUUGUCAGUUGAGUUAUAUAUUGGGGAAUAAAUUUCAACUAACUGCGCUCGGAGAGAUUUUUCUGGAUACAUCUUCGGACAGGAGUUCGACUCUCCUCAUCUCCACCA
rnacentral:tmRNA from 1 species